rnacentral:rRNA from 1 species
GUGGGGAAUCUUCCGCAAUGGACGAAAGUCUGACGGAGCGACGCCGCGUGAGUGAAGAAGGCCUUCGGGUCGUAAAGCUCUGUCAUCAGGGACGAACGGCCGGUGGAGUGGAAAGCCACCGGAUUGACGGUACCUGAGAAGGAAGCCACGGCUAACUACGUGCCAGCAGCCGCGGUAAUACGUAGGUGGCAAGCGUUGUCCGGAAUUAUUGGGCGUAAAGCGCGCGCAGGUGGGAUCUUAAGUCCAUUUUUAAAGUUCGGAGCUCAACUCCGUGAUGGGAGUGAAACUGGGAGUCUUGAGUACCGGAGAGGAAAGCGGAAUUCCCCGUGUAGCGGUGAAAUGCGUAGAUAUGGGGAGGAACACCAGUGGCGAAGGCGGCUUACUGGACUGUAACUGACGCUGAGGCGCGAAAGUGUGGGGAGCAAACAGGAUUAGAAACCCCAGUAGUCC